rnacentral:lncRNA from 1 species
CACCGAGCGGGGCCCAAAAACCGAGCGGGGCCCAAAAAACCGAGCGGGGCCCAAAAACCGAGCGGGGCCCAAAAACCGAGCGGGGCCCAAAAACCGAGCGGGGCCCAGCGGGGCUGAGGGCCCGAACGGGUCCGAGCGGGGCCGAGGGCCCUGAGCGGGUCCGGGCGGGCGGGUCCGAGCGGGGCCCAGCGGGGCUGAGGGCCGCGAGCGGUUCCGAGCGGUUCCGAAAGGUUCCGAGCGGUUCCGAAAGGUUCCGAGUGGAUUCGAGCGGGGCCAGCGGGACCCAGCGGAGCCGAGCGGGGCUGAGGGGCCCGAGCGGUUCCGAACGGUUCCGAACGGUUCCGAGCGGGGCCGAGCGGGGCUGAGGGCCCCGAGCGGGUCCGAACGGUUCCGAACGGUUCCGAGCGGGGCCGAGNGGGGCCGAGCGGGGCUGAGGGCCCCGAGCGGGUCCGAACGGUUCCGAACGGUUCCGAGCGGGGCCGAGCGGGGCUGAGGGCCCCGAGCGGGUCCGGGCGGGCGGGUCCGAGCGGGGCCCAGCGGGGCUGAGGGCCCCGAGCGGGUCCGAACGGUUCCGAACGGUUCCGAGCGGGUUUGAGCGGGGCUGAUCUGAAGGGCCCGAGCGGUUCCGAAAGGUUCCGAGCGGGCCCGAAUAGACCGGGACGGUUCCGAGCGGGUCCGAGUGGGUUUGAGCGGGGCUGAGGGCCCCGAGCGGGUCCGAGCGGUUCCGAGCGGGUCCGAGCUGAGCGGGCAGCGCGGGGUGCGGCCUUCGGCCUCGGCCGCCUCCUCCUCCUCCUCCUCCUCCUGCUGCUACUGCUCUUCCUCCCCCGGCUCUGCCUCCUCUUCCUCCUGUGCCUCUUCCUGAUCUUCGGCCUCUGCUCCUCAUCUUCCUCAUCCUCCUGUGCUUCCUCCUCAUCUUCCUCAUCUUCCUCCUGUGCCUCUUCCUCCUCAUCUUCCUCCUCUUCCUCCUGUGCCUCUUCCUGAUCUUCGGCCUCUGCUCCUCAUCUUCCUCAUCCUCCUGUGCCUCUUCCUCCUCCUCCUGCUCAGCCUCUGGGUCCCCUCCUCUUCCUCCUCUUCCUCCCCUUCCUCCCCUUCCUCCUCUUCCUCCCCUUCCUCCUCUUCCUCCCCUUCCUCCUCUUCCUCCCCUUCCUCCUCUUCCUCCCCUUCCUCCUCUUCCUCCUCUUCCUCCUCUUCCUCCCCUUCCUCCCCUUCCUCCUCUUCCUCCCCUUCCUCCUCCUCCUCCCCUUCCUCCUCUUCCUCCUCUUCCUCCUCCUGCUCUUCCUCCUCUUCCUCUUCUUCCUCUUCUCCUUUUCUUCCUCUUCUUCUUCCUCCUCCUCUUCCUCCCCUUCCUCUUCCUCCUCUUCAUCUUCUCCUCCUCUUCCUCCUCUUCUCUUCUUCCUCCUCUUCUUCCUCUUCCUGCUCUUCCUCUUCUUCCUCCUCCUCUUCCUCCUCUUCUCCGGCUUUUCCUCCUCUUCCUCCUCCUCUUCCUCUUCCUCCUCUUCCUCUUCUCUUCCUCCCCCUCCCCCCGCCGGGCCCUGGAAUUUGGGGGAUUCCAGGAAUUUUUGGCAAUUCCAAGGCUGGUUUGGGAAUUCCAGGAAUUUCGGGAAUUCUGGAAUUUUGGCAGUUCUGGGAAUUUUGAGUAUUCCAAGGUUGUUUUUGGGAAUUCCAGGAAUUUGGGGGAGUUCUGGAAUUUUGGCAGUUCUGGGAAUUGGGGGAAUUUUUGGAAUUCCAGGAUUUUGACAGCUCUGGGGAUUCCAGGAAUUUUGGGAAUUCCGGGACUUGCUUUGGGAAUUUUGAGCAUUCCAGGAAUUCUGGGACUGCCGGGGGUUUUUGGGAAUUCCUGAUCCCGGGGCCUUUGGGGGCUUUUUUUUUUUUGGGAAUUCUGGAGUUUUUUUUCUGGGAAUUCCGGGAAAUCCAGGCGUGAUUUUUAGGGAAUUCCGGCAUUGUUUUGGGAAUUCCCGAUCCUGGGGCCUUUUGCGGCUUUUAUUUUUGGGAAUUUUGGGAAUUCCAGGGGGGUUUUUUUGGGAAUUUUGGUAAUUCCCAAUCCCGGGGCCUUUUGGGGCUCUUUUUUUUUGGGAUUUUUGGGAAUUCUGGGGAAACUGAGGCACAGCUGGAGCUGAGCCCGGAGUAUCCCCGGAGUAUCCCUGGAAUAUCCCUGGAAUAUCCCCGGAGUAUCCCUGGAGUAACCCCGGAGUAUCCCUGAAAUAUCCCUGGAGUAUCCCUGGAGUAUUUUUGGGAUAAAUCCCUUCCCUGCCCCCAAUUUCCCCCCGUUUGUCCCCAAAAUUCCCCCCAAAAAUGAGAAUUUUGGGAUGGAUUCCCAAAAAAAUCCCAUCCAAAAUGUGACUUUUGGGAUAAAUUCCCCCUUUUGCCUGGGAUUCCCCCCAAAAUCCCAUCAAAAAUGAGAAUUUUGGGAUAAAUUCCCCCUUUUCCCCAAAAAUCUCAUCAAAAAAGAGAAUUUUGGGAUCCGUUUCCUCCAAAACCACAUUAAAAAUGGGAAUUUCGGGAUUUCUCCCGGGUUUUCCCCAGGAUUCCCCUCAAACUCCCAUCCAGAAUGAGAAUUUUGGGAUGGAUUCCCCCUUUUCCCCAAAAUUCCCCCCAAAAUCCCAUCCAAAAUGAGAAUUUUGGGAUGGAUUCCCCCUUUUCCCUGCAAUUCCCCCCAAAAUCCCAUCCAGAAUGAGAAUUUUGGGAUGGAUUCCUCCUUUUCCCCAAAAUUCCCUCCAAAAUCCCAUCCAGAAUGAGAAUUUUGGGAUGGAUUCCCCCUUUUCCCCAAAAUUCCCUCCAAAAUCCCAUCCAGAAUGAGAAUUUUGGGAUUUCUCCCCCACAAACCCAACCCAAAUGGGAAUU